UACAGAGACUGCAAGCGUUAUUCGGAAUCACUGGGCGUAAAGGGUGCGUAGGCGGCUUGGUAAGUUGGGUGUGAAAGCCCCGGGCUCAGCCCGGGAAGGGCACUCGAAACUGCCGAGCUGGAGUGCCGGAGGGGAGAGUGGAAUUCCUGGUGUAGCGGUGAAAUGCGUAGAUAUCAGGAGGAAUACCGGUGGCGAAAGCGACUCUCUGGACGGCAACUGACGCUGAGGCACGAAAGCGUGGGGAGCAAACAGG
rnacentral:rRNA from 1 species